AAUGGUAAACUCAAUGGGUGAAUAAGUAGUAAUGUGAUGAAUUAU
rnacentral:guide_RNA from 1 species